rnacentral:rRNA from 1 species
AACUAACGCUGGCGGCGUGCCUAACACAUGCAAGUCGUACGAGAAAGUCGGCUUCGGCUGAUGAGUAAAGUGGCGCACGGGUGAGUAACGCGUGGAUAAUCUGCCCUUGAGUGUGGAAUAACGUACCGAAAGGUGCGCUAAUACCGCAUAAUGCCUGGCAACACAAGUUGUCCGGCCAAAGAAGGCCCCUGUUUACAAGCUUUUGCUCAAGGAUGAGUCCGCGUACCAUUAGCUAGUUGGUGGGGUAACGGCCUACCAAGGCUACGAUGGUUAGCUGGUCUGAGAGGAUGAUCAGCCACACUGGAACUGAGACACGGUCCAGACUCCUACGGGAGGCAGCAGUGAGGAAUAUUGCGCAAUGGGGGCAACCCUGACGCAGCAACGCCGCGUGAGUGAGGAAGGUUUUCGGACUGUAAAGCUCUGUCGAGCGGGAAGAAAUGUACCAUGGCUAAUAUCCAUGAUAUUUGACGGUACCGCUAGAGG